AGGCCAGUGGAAAAUGCAAUGGCGUCUAAUCAAGAAUCACAGCCAGGAAGCUAGACUCAGAAGAAAGGCCGUGAACUCAACCAACUUUCUUCUUUCUCUCCUUCCACAGAUCCAGAACCACUCAUUUUACUUGGAGCUGAGAUAUGAUUUCAUUGCCUGGGAAAUUGAAUAGAAUAGAACCAGAGGAUUUUGAAAGCAGCUUCUAAUUUCAAAAUAUCAUAUUGGAAGGAAAAAAAAGCUUCCAUUUCCCACCAGCUCUUGCACUUGCCUGCCAUUUCCUGAAUGCCAGUGUGACUAAUGAGUGCCAGAGGCAGCAGAUGGGAAGACUUCUCAACACCAACAUAAUUUGGACUCACCGGAGAAUCCACAGGCUUCACUCUGGAGAUGAAUGGACUCAGACAACCAUAUAUGGGAAGAGAGCAAGCACUACUCCAAGUAAACAGAUGGAAUUGUGCCCUGAGUAUUUUUCCAAAAAGAAAAGAUCCAGGGGUAGGAGCCAGAAGAGAAUAAGCACAGACAGAAGCACAAAGUUCAAUGGACUCAAGCUGAGCAGGGUGGGGAGACAGGCGGGUGAACAGAUUCACACCACCCUUGUCCCUGCUUUCUCCGCACUCCAGCGGCAUCAUUGUCCGGCAUCAUUAUCCACAGAGCUUCAAAAAAUUUCAGACUCCUGGGUCCCACGGUGAACCCAGGCUCGGUGAACCUGAGAAAGUCAUUUCUUGUUCAUGCAACAUUGAGUGACCAGAGCACACUGGAGCUUGGGGCAGCCACUGCAUUUUUGGAAUAUGACAAAGAAUGCUGUCUCAUUAUGUUGUGAGGGUGAAUCUACUUCCUGCAUAAUGUGUGGCAGCUCACAUUUAUUGAACAGUUUACUGAGUACCAAGCAUUGGUCUAUGCACUCCCCCGAAUUCUUUCAUUUUCUCCUCAUGAUGACUUUUUGAGGUAAGUACUUAUGAUCAUUUUCUUCUGGCAAAUGAGAAAACUGAAGCCUAGAGAGGUUAAGUAAUUUGCCUAAGGGUGAAAAUCUAGUAAGCAGCAGAGAGACAGGACUUGUACCUGGGGCAGUCAGAUCCCCAGCAGGAUCUCCUAAUCAGUUAGUACACCCUGCUACCCUUGGUGAAAUUGCCUUUGCAACAUGUUUGUUAACGAUAAAGUCACAUCCUUACAUAAAAUAUUCAUGUUAUUAUUAUUAAAAUCCAUUUAGUUCUCUGAUUCAUUGAGAUGAUAUAAUAGACCUAUUAAAAUUUAGCAUAUGUGAAAGUGUGGAACAAAUCAACAUAUUUCUAGUGAUAAUAUAUCUUCUUUAAUCUCAAUCAUUGAAGAAUAGAAGAUCUGACUGUGAUUUCUUAUUUUUCAUAUAUCUAUAAAAACUAAAAUGGACUCAUUUGACCUAUGCACUAUAAUUGUAUUACAACCUAAUGAAAAUUUUAAAAUGUACAGUUAAGGAUAACAAGAGAGACAAGAAAUAUAAACAAAGCAGUUUAUAACAUUAUUUAAUGCUUUCCCUAAAUCAUUUGAAUGUUUCUGCAUGAAGUCAUAAUGAUAUGCUCUUCUUUGAGAUAAAUUGCUUGUUUUUCUUGAUUUUGAGAUGCAAAUUUUUUCACAUCUUGAUGUUUUUGAAAUUAGUAGAUGCCUUAUAAUCAAUGUGAACAUUUAAUAUAGAAUACUUUAUCCUCCUUUCACCAUCCAAGAAGCUGUUAUUAAAGCUAUCAUGUAUCUUAGAAUCUUAAAAUAGAAGAAGUUCAUAGUACUUUACAUUCUUAAGAUCUGUAACACUAUGUCAGUCAAUAUAGAAUGCCCACUGUUUUGUUCAAUGGACACAGCUAGCUUUGCCCCAACUGGCAGUUUAAACAUCACAGAAAAAACACUGAAUAUCUUUCAAAGCCUAUGUUUGAAAAUAUGAUUGUAUGCCUACAUUUGGAAUUUUAAGUACUCAUCUUUCACUAAAAGGGACUCUACAGUUGAUUCCAGGACUGGGAGAGAGAAAAUCCAGGGUGAACUAAGAACAUCUUGCUGUGCUACAAAUAAAGAAAUGAUGACAAGGACAUGUCAAAUGGAUACAAGAGCCAACUUGUAAGGGCUCCAUCUAAUCAAAUAUGUGACAAUUUGUGCUUGCAACUAGAUAAUUAGAGUAAUUUUUAUAAGCCACUGAAUAGAAUAACCUAUAAGUCCAUAUUGGUAAUAAAUUAAUACAUAAAUAACAGAUGAUAAGAGGAAGCUCUUCUUACAAUAGUAUGUUACAUCAUAAAUGUAGAAAAGAAUGGUAGCAUUUAAAAAUCACCAUUUUGCAGUCAUCCAUAGAAAUCAGUUGAGUAUAUCAGCGUGGGAUGCUAUAAUGACUGAUGAAAGCUGGAUAAGAAACAGUAUUUUAUAUAGUCUCAAAGUAUCUUCCCACAGAUUCCUUGUUAAUAUCAAGGGGAAAAUGGUAAGCCUACAAUGAGGAAACGUGACACAGAGCACUUCAACCAGGUGAUGUGUUAAUAUCACCAACAACGGGACAGCCUGACAUCAUGUGUCUCCUGAUGUGAUGCAUGUGAAAGGGCACAGCAUUUCUUACAUGUCACACCUACUGAAAAUGGAUAACCUACAAGGAAAUACCAGACAGAUUCCAAACAGUUACUCUGUACUCUUCAAAAUGUCAAUGCUGUAAAAGACAAUGAAAGCCUGAGAAACUAUUCCAGAUUAAAAUAAACUAAAGAAGCCUGACAACUAAAAGAAAUGUGUUAUCUUGUAUUGGAUUCUGAAUUGGGCAUGGGGUGGGGAGGAUUGCUAUAAUGGACAUUACAGGGACAACUGAUAAAAUUUAAUAGUGAACCUUUUAUUAGAUAAUAGUAAUAUAUGAAUAUUAAACAGCCUCAACUAAAUAAUUGUACUGUUUAUAUAAGAGCAUGCCCUUAUUCUUAAGAAAAAUUGAAAUAUUUAAGGGUAAAAAGACAUGAUUUCUACAAAUACUUUCAAAUGGUUCAGGAUAAUAAUACAUAUCAUGUGGGGAGAGAAAGCAAAGUAGCAUAGUGUUAACAAUUGGUAAAUUUGGAUUAAGAGAAUACAGGAGUUAUUUUUAUUAUUCUUGAAACUCAUCUGUAAAUUUAAAAUUAUUUCAAAAUAAUUAAAAUAGCUAAAAAUAGUUUAAAUUUUUUUUAUCUAUUUUGUGUUCCAUUUGAAUGUGUUUUUUAAAGUAAAUUUUGAAGCAUUGUGGUCAAUGGAUCUUUGAUAGAGUCCAGGCUGGAAACUUGAAGCAAAUGAGUAGUAAAUAAGUAAAUUUAAUGUGUAAGUUGAUGGUCAGCCUCAGGUUUCAAAAAGGGUUCUUGUAAAAAAAAAGUUGUUAGAUGAAGGAAAUCUAUUUAGAAAGAUUUUAUAUAGGACCUUGAAUUCUUAUUGUAUGAUUGUUCUUAUUAUCUGCUUUUGGAAUUUAAAAAAAAAG